GUUUGAGCUGCAUUGUGAUGAUUCAUGAUGUUUAUAUGCAGUCUCUGGUUCAUUCUUCUCUUUUCAGGUGAUGCAAGAGGAGAAGGAAUAACACCUCUCUUCUCGUCUGAACUUGUUAUUAGUGGUGACUCCAUUACUUUGGGCUGCAAUUAUGACGGGACUUACAGCAGUGAUUCUCUCCUGUGGUAUCGUCAAUACAGCAGCUCCAAACCUGAGUUUUUGUUUCUGGUUAGUGAAGCCAAUCUUGAGCAGUCAGCUGACCCUCCAAUACCUGGAGUAUCUGCUAAAAUAAAUGAGGAGAAAACCCGUGUGGAUCUGAAGAUCUCCUCUGCUUCAGUAUCAGACUCUGCAAUGUACUACUGUGCUCUGCAGCCCACAGUGACAGGAAACACAUCAACACUGUACAGAAUUAAGAGGAAAACAACUAAAUGAACAACCUCAUGAACUAUACUAAAUAUGCAACCACUAAAUACUGUAUAUACCACUGGAAUGUUCAGCAGAGGUCAUGUAGUUUUAAAUCGUGCUUAAGCGAUUUUGGGUAAAA